GACGAACGCUGGCGGCGUGGAUUAGGCAUGCAAGUCGAACGGUAUCAUCCUUUCGGGGGUGAGAGAGUGGCGAACUGGUGAGUAACACGUAGGUUAUCUACCCUCAAGACGGGGACAACCCAGGGAAACUUGGGCUAAUACCGGAUGUGAGCAACUUUUUAGUUGUUUGAAAGGUGGCGUAAGCUGUCGCUUGGGGAUGAGCCUGCGUCCUAUUAGUUAGUUGGUGAGGUAACGGCUCACCUAGGCAAUGAUAGGUAGGCGGCCUUAACGGGUGGUCGCCCACACUGGGAUUGAGAUACGGCCCAGACUCCUACGGGAGGCAGCAGUCGAGAAUAGUCUACAAUGGUCGGAAGACUGAUAGUGCGACGCCGCGUGAACGAUGAAUCCCUUCGGGGUGUAAGUUCUUUUAUAUGUGAGCAGUGCUUCUUAUAUUAACAGUAUGGGGAGAGAGAUAUUAGCAUAUGAAUAAGCAACGGCUAACUCCGUGCCAGCAGCCGCGGUAAGCUCG
rnacentral:rRNA from 1 species